rnacentral:ncRNA from 1 species
ACAAUGAUACUCCUGCCCAGCCACAGCUUCUUCACGCAAUGGGGGCAGCUCGGAGCGAUCCUCGGAGGGGUGAAAGUCCCGUGA